rnacentral:rRNA from 1 species
UACGGAGGAUCCAAGCGUUAUCCGGAUUCAUUGGGUUAAAGGGUGCGUAGGCGGAAUGAUAAGUCAGUGGUGAAAGCCUGCAGCUCAACUGCAGAACUGCCAUUGAUACUGUCAAUCUUGAGUACAUUUGAUGUGGGCGGAAUGUGUCAUGUAGCGGUGAAAUGCGUAGAUAUCAGGAGGAACACCGGUGGUGUAGACGGCUUUCUGGACCGUAACUGACGCUGAGACACGAAAGCGUGGGUAGCAAACAGG